rnacentral:lncRNA from 1 species
AUCCUUCAUCAGACUCCAAGGAGAGGCCAACAGAUGAGGGAGCCAUUUUUCUGCAAUGGAAUUAAAUGGCCAAGUGGGUUUUUCCUUUGUUGCAAAUGGGGAAUGCUUUUCCUUUGACUCCACCAUCCAGUUCAGGACGCCUGAAUGUGUUUAACAUUUGCCAAAGGACUCACACUUGGAAGAAUGAAGACCUUUUAAAAAGAUCUGGAUUUUUCCUUAUGACUUGGAAUCCAUCUUUGUCUUGUAUAACUAGGUCAUAGCACACUAUUAAUGUCAGCAGUUAACAGUUUUGAAUUCAAAAAAACCUAAAGCACUAAACAGCCCUCAGCGAAGCCGCCUUUUUGCCAGCCCAACCCUGGAAAGUUUGCAGUCGUGGAAGGAGCAGAAAUACCACGAGUGUAACUUACAAAGAAGGUCUUGGCCGGAGACCGGAGCCAUGUCUGUGUUAUCCCCACUGUAGACAAUCCUUGCUUCCUCUGGACAUCUGGAGCAGGCCCAAUUUGACUGAGAGCCUUCCCCCACUAAGUUACAGAUCCAGCCCCACCAUCACCACCAGAGUUGAGUCCAAAUCCAACACUCUAGGCCGGGUAGUGCUGGGACUUUGCCAGCCUCCUGCUGAGAAGUGAAUUCUCCCCUUGGCAAACUGCAGCCAGCCAGCCUCCUGGGUCGAGAGCCAAGCCAAAAGAUGUCUGAGAGAAGAAACCUGGGGUCCUGCAAAGCCCUCCUCCUCCCCCCCCCCCCCCUUCAGCCAGCACUUAGGCCCUCCCUGAUUUAGCCCGUUACCUUGACAACCACUUGGGCCUGUCUCCCUCAUCACCACUGAAAACCUGAAGGUGGUUUUCCAGCUGCGGUACAUUUGCCCAAGUUGGGCACCCCUCCAGCUUCUAUUGGCUCGCCCUCUAUACAGCUGUACCCAAUAUAACAAACACAACCUUCCUGGCCCCUCAGCUGUAGUCUCGAAAUUGAUCUCACUGGUCCCGGGAACUCCGUCAAUACUGCCUCCUCUAGACUGAGCUCCUCACAGGCAGGAACAUGGUUGUUUCUCAAUAAACAAGUUGCAAAAAAAGGAA